AACAGUGGAAAUGCGUAUAUUGCAAGCCAAGAAGUCAGAGAAAACGACUGAGCUAAUUUAGUAAGUCACAUUUCGCUGAUGCAGCGGUUAAACCUAGGAGGGAAACCGCUUGCAUUUGUUUUGACUCCACUGUAAACUUUCUCACCGACACGCCCCACGGAAUCCCCGAUACACAAGAGGUUCCCGCGUCUCUAACAGUCUUGAGAACCGGUCGGGGCAGAGAUUAACAUUACAGGUUGACUAUGGUAGUUUUGGUGUAAAUACGGAGGAAGAACUCCCCCUGCUGGUUGGGCCUGAAGGUGGAGGCCAUUAUAACGUAAGUGCCAGGUUCAAGGUGCACCUUCCUCCAGACACUCCUGAUGCUCCGGUACUUUCCAGACCGACUGACAGGCCUGUUGUUGGAGAAAAACUGCUGGUCUAGAGAACCUGGUUUGUCCUUCAACUAAAGGAGCUCCACCAAUAUUGUGCCCUUCUUCUUCUUUUCCUGUUUCCCGGUUUUGAUCACCGGAGGCGGCACAUAAACUUCAUCUUCUUCUCCAGCCGGAUCUUCGUCCUCAAUCUCGUCCUCUACAAAGUCAUGUUCAUC